GACGAACGCUGGCGGCGUGCUUAACACAUGCAAGUCGACCGGUGAAGCGCCUUCCUUUUUGGCGGGUGUGGAUGAGUGGCGAACGGGUGCGUAACACGUGCGUAACCUGCGCCCUUCUUCUGCAUAACCGCAUGACAGUGUGGCUAAUACGGGAUAUUCUGUGUCUGUCGCCUGAUGGGUCUGGGACAGCUGUUGUUUCGGUGGGGGAUGGGCUCGCGGCCUAUCUGCUUGUUGGUGGGGUCAUGGCCUACCAAGGCGGUGCCGGGUAGCCGGCCUGGGGGGGUGGACGGUCGGACUGGGAGUGAGACACGGCCGAGACUGGUACGGGAGGCAGAAGGGGGGAAUAGUGAACAAUGAGCGCAAGCCUGAUGCAGCGACGCCGCGUGAGGGAUGGAGGCCUUCGGGUUGUGAACCUCUUUCGCGAGUGAAGCAGGGCUGCCUCGUGUGUGGGUGGGUUGACGGUAGCUGGAUAAGAAGCGCCGGCUAACUACGUG
rnacentral:rRNA from 1 species